GGCCUGUCACAGAGAAGCGAUCGCUCCGCUCUGCCCGGAGCCUCUCCUAAUCCCCGAGCUCAAGUAGAUUCCGCUGGCCCGCGGCCUGCGCCCUUCGCCGGGCCUACGCCUCCCCGGCCGCCCGGCAGGAACCAAAUCUCCUCCGCCAAAGUCGGCAGGGAGAGAAGCUCUAAAACCGCCGCCGGCCGAGGCGCCUCCUCCCGGGGAGGACAACUCCACACUCGCUCCGCCGAGGAGACCCGAGGCUGCCGGGGAAGGGAACAGGAGCGGGAGGGGGAGCAGAGGAGCCCGGGACCUGGCCCCGCCGCCGCCGCCGCCGCCGAAAGAAAGAGAAGGAAGGAAUUUACCUGGGCGAAUCGGCGUUUGAAUCCGUGGAGAGGCCGAGGCCGAGGCGGCUGUGAACAAAAUGCCGACCGGAAGUGCAGCUGCAGGAAUGACUCCCUCCACCGGCGCCAAACACCAACAACCUCCCCCUCUCCCCCACUCCACUUCCGCCACUGCCGCCGCCCGCCCGCCAGCCCGCUGCCGCCGCCGCUGCUGCUACUACUACUACUCCAGUCCCCCUGCCCGCUGCCAGUAUCCCUCGUCGCUGCUCGUGCCGCCGCCGCCAGCGCGGCGCAGCUCCUCACCCGAGCCGCAAUUCUAACCUUGGCUGGCGGCUUUGGCGGCAGCAGGAACAGGAUACCCUCCCGUGGCGGCGGCUACGACGACUGCUCCUCCUCCUCCUCUCUUCAGCCUCUACCUCGCUCCCUCCUCUUCCUUCUCCUCCUCCUGCUGCUGCUGUUGCUGUUGCUGCUGCUGCUGCUGCUGCUGCUGCUACUGCCGCCGCCGCCACCACCGCCACCGCCACCGCCACCUCCACCUCCACCACCACCACCACCACCACCACCACCACUACAGCUGCUCUGGGUGGGGUGUGGAUUUUGCCCUUUAUUGUAGCUGUUGCCGAGUGGUAUUUUCGACGGCCUACGACCUGGCCAAGCUACUUUCGCUCUCGUUCUUGUCUUUCUUUUCCUAGGGGAAAGUGAGAAGACCUUAGCUUCGGGCGUCGCUUGGCUUCCUGUGAAGGAGACCAAGGAAGAUUUUGGGGUGGCUUCUUUCCUACCCUCUCCCCAUUUUCCCCGGGAGGGGUUCAAAGCUCCCGGACACUGAAGGCUGAAAAGUAUGAGUAGCGUUCUGUGCUUUCUCUCCAGGCUUAGGGAAUGCUGCUUGCUUGUGGGUGGCCACGUUUUGGACACCCGCAGUUCCAUUGGAUUUUCAGGUGAUGUCCUCGCGGCUAGGUGGAUGGAUGUGCCGUACAACUUUCCUUUUGACACAGCUGACUUGAUGCGUGUAUAGGAGCACAUAUUUUGUUUUGGUGGAAUAAUAGGAUCAUAACACAAGGUGAAGGAAGAUGAAGCACUGGGUACUGAACUACUACUUGGCAUUUUUGCUUUUGAAAAUGCACUUGUCUGUUUUUGUUUUUGUUUUUCCACUACUGGGGGAAUGGGCUUGUGGUCAAUGCUAUACGAGGGACGUACGAAAAUAUACAGAUGCCUAUCUCUCCUUUUUCCAAUCCCAUCUGGAUGUAACUGGACAUUAGUUAGCUCCAUGUGCAUUAAGGUAUUUGUGUGUUACUUUAUACAUCCCUCUCUGGGCUAGAUGGAGCUGUUGUGUCCUGGGGGUGGAGGUGGAGGUGGGGUGGGUGGGUGGAUGCCUUCUAGAGCAGAAGCUGCUGCUGACUGGAGCAUAUAGUGAGGUGUUGCUUCUAUUUUAUGUUGCUAUUGUCCGCAAGACAAUGUCUGUGCUGCAACAGGUUUUAAACUCAGUUUCUGAAGCUAAACCAGAGAAAGAACCUGUACUAGAUAAAAUAAUUAAGUAUUAAUUGGAUUACCCUUUAGAUUUCAUCUUAAGGCAGUAUCCUGUUUCCAGUACUUUUAAACUGUAACAAAUGAAGUAAAAUUCCAACUUGAACAAUCCUCCCUCUUUUUCUCAUCCUGUUUCCUUGAAUGAUAACUUGUUACCAUGCUCUUCUAUUAUUUGUAAAAGGGAGAAAGCCUUUACUUCAGAAGCAGUACAGUAGUAGAAUGAUUAAUUUAAAAUUGAGUAGAAUUUGAAUUGAAACCUUGACAUGUUUUCAGCCGGUUUAAUAAAUUUGGUAACAUGGGUUAAAUUAUUUGCUUG
ensembl:lncRNA